UACGUAGGGGGCAAGCGUUGUCCGGAAUCAUUGGGCGUAAAGCGCGCGUAGGCGGUCCGGUAAGUCCGCUGUGAAAGUCCGGGGCUCAACCCCGGGAGGCGGGCGGAUACUGUCGGGCUAGAGUCCGGAAGAGGCGAGUGGAAUUCCUGGUGUAGCGGUGAAAUGCGCAGAUAUCAGGAGGAACACCAAUGGCGAAGGCAGCUCGCUGGGACGGUACUGACGCUGAGGCGCGAAAGCGUGGGGAGCAAACAGG
rnacentral:rRNA from 1 species